GGCUCGUUGGUGAAACGGUUAACACAGCGCCCUCUCAAGGCGUCAUUCACGGGUUCAAAUCCCGUACGAGUCACCA
rnacentral:tRNA from 3 species